CCCAGACUCCUACGGGAGGCAGCAGUGGGGGAUAUUGCACAAUGGGGGGAACCCUGAUGCAGCGACGCCGCGUGGGUGAAGGAGCGUUUCGGCGCGUAAAGCCCUCUCGGCAGGGAAGAAGGAGGACGGUACCUGACUAAGAAGCCCCGGCUAACUACGUGCCAGCAGCCGCGGUAAUACGUAGGGGGCAAGCGUUAUCCGGAUUUACUGGGUGUAAAGGGGGCGCAGACGGCAGCGCAAGCCAGGAGUGAAAGCCCGGGGCCCAACCCCGGGACUGCUCUUGGAACUGCGCGGCUGGAGUGCAGGAGGGGCAGGCGGAAUUCCUGGUGUAGCGGUGAAAUGCGUAGAUAUCAGGAGGAACACCGGUGGCGAAGGCGGCCUGCUGGACUGCGACUGACGUUGAGGCCCGAAAGCGUGGGGAGCAAACAGGAUUAGAUACCCGCGUAGG
rnacentral:rRNA from 1 species